AAAUAACAUGAUGCUUGAAAAAUAAUUUUUUAAAUCAGUGUGUUUUGUUUUGUGUAAAAUAAAGGAGUGAGGUCUGAGAACACCAAAUUUUCAAAACUUGGGUGUCAUGACUUGUAAAUGCUAGGAAUUAUGGCUAAAUGCACUAUGUCAUGCUAUUUUUAUUUCAUCUGUUGUUAACACUAUUUUCCUAUGUUCCAAGUCUAAUAUAUCUAAUUGAGAACUAAACUUGAUGAAGAGGGAUAUCAGUGUUUGACAGGAAUCUUUAUUUUAUCCUUGAAGAAACUGACAGUGCAAUGUCCUUAAAUACCAUCUGAAAAGCCUCACUGAGAUAACAAAUUACGUUUUAUGACUCACUAUUCUCAUUCCAUCUUAAGCAGAAAGUUCCAAAUUCAAUACACAGAGGUCACUAAGGGAACAUUCUGUCUUCAAAUCAUCCUUAUGUAGUCUCUCAGUUUUCUGGCAGUGGUUUAGCUGGAUGGGAUCAUAAGUGAGAGCCAGGGGAACCUUUUGUUUUGAGCCAAAAGUUGUGCGAUCAGGACCCAGUGGUCUUGGAUUUUCCAGGUCAAAGGCUGUCAAAAAAUGUCAUUGGGGAAUGGGUCUGAGGAGGAAAGCAGUAGAAUGUUCAACUUGAGCCACAGUGGUGCAUUACUCAGUGUAAAGAAAUGCAUCAUUGUGAUAACCUCUGAGCCCUGCAGCCACUUUGUGAAAUACAGAAUUGUUCUGAUUUAUGAAUAUGAUAUUAUGGCUGCAGCAAGUCUCUCGCCUACACAUGAAGUUUUAGACCAGGAGUAUCAAGGUGCAAGCACCUUCAGCAAUGGGCAGUGCAGGAGCCCUAGCAUGUAGGUCCUACCCAACUGGAGCUGCGGAGACCCUGCCUUCCUCAGCAGCUACACAGACAGACUGAUGUUGAACAAUUAAAUAUGAGGACAUUUGAGUGGAUUCGUUGAUCAUUCUUUCUCCACAAUGGAAUGCUCUGAGAGAUGAGCUUCAUAUUGCCUCACUGGGGACAUUCCAUAUGUCCACAUAACCAGUUGGGUUUUCCUGUGACGCUAUGAUCUG
rnacentral:lncRNA from 1 species